CGGGGUAGGUACUUUGACUUGCAUUUCUAGGCUUGUGAUUUUAGUUUUGUAUUUUUCAAUUUUACCCUUAAUCAUGAGAUGCUUCUGUUAGGAAUUUUUCCUUUUUAGCUGAAGGAGUUGUGUUGAUGUUGGAUUCAGGAAUCACUUGUAAGUCCAUGCAUUUUCUUGUAUGGAGUUCUGAUAUGCAGCUUUCUCCCGCUGUUUGGUGUUUCUUCCCACCUAUUUCUGGGUGACUUUUAAAAGUGUCAUGUUGCGCCCUUUCCAGAUGAUGUCACUUGGCCUUCAUGGUAUUCAAAUAGAUAUGUUGAAUGGAUUAUUGAUUGUAAUCAGCGC
rnacentral:misc_RNA from 1 species